rnacentral:rRNA from 1 species
GACGAACGCUGGCGGCGUGCUUAACACAUGCAAGUCGAACGGAAAGGCCCUGCUUUUGUGGGGUGCUCGAGUGGCGAACGGGUGAGUAACACGUGAGUAACCUGCCCUUGACUUUGGGAUAACUUCAGGAAACUGGGGCUAAUACCGGAUAGGAGCUCCUGCUGCAUGGUGGGGGUUGGAAAGUUUCGGCGGUUGGGGAUGGACUCGCGGCUUAUCAGCUUGUUGGUGGGGUAGUGGCUUACCAAGGCUUUGACGGGUAGCCGGCCUGAGAGGGUGACCGGCCACAUUGGGACUGAGAUACGGCCCAGACUCCUACGGGAGGCAGCAGUGGGGAAUAUUGCACAAUGGGCGGAAGCCUGAUGCAGCAACGCCGCGUGCGGGAUGACGGCCUUCGGGUUGUAUACCGCUUUCGCCUGUGACGAAGCGUGAGUGACGGUAAUUGGUAAAGAAGCACCGGCUAACUAUGUG